CUACGGGUCGCACCAGUGAGGAAUAUUGCACAAUGGAGGAAACUCUGAUGCAGCAACGCCGCGUGGAGGAUGACGCAUUUCGGUGUGUAAACUCCUUUUAUGAGUCAAGAAAAUGACGGUAGCUCAUGAAUAAGCACCGGCUACACUCCGUGCCAGCAGCCGCGGUAAUACGGAGGGUGCAAGCGUUACUCGGAAUCACUGGGCGUAAAGGACGCGUAGGCGGGAUAUCAAGUCAGGUGUGAAAUCCUACAGCUUAACUGUAGAACUGCACUUGAAACUGGUAACCUAGAGUAUGGGAGGGGGAGAUGGAAUUAGUGGUGUAGGGGUAAAAUCCGUAGAUAUCACUAGGAAUACCUAAAGCGAAGGCGAUCUCCUGGAACAUAACUGACGCUAAGGCGUGAAAGCGUGGGGAGCAAACAGGAUUAGAUACCCCCGUAGUC
rnacentral:rRNA from 1 species